AUGAGGCGGGGGAGCCAGCCCCUCCAUGGCCACGGCGCCGCGCUCGCGCUCGCGCUGCUGCUUCUCGCGGCGGCCGCCCAUGCUCAGCGGACCCUGAGGACCCAUGCGGGCGACGCGGCGGCGCUGAACGCGGUGUUCGCCAAGCUCGGCCAGAAGGCGUCGUCCUCAUGGAACAUCAGCGGCAACCUCUGCACCGGCGCCGCCACGGACGACACCGACAUCGACAACGACCCCAACUUCAACCCGGCCAUCAAGUGCCUCUGCUCCACCGGCAACGCCUCCGUCUGCCGCAUCACAAGGCUGAAAAUAUACGCCUUGGACGCGGUCGGCCCGAUACCAGAAGAGCUGUGGAACCUCACCAGCCUCACCAAUUUGAAUUUAGCACAAAAUUACUUAACAGGGCCUAUACCAUCGUUCAUUGAGAAGCUGGAUCAGAUGCAGUACUUGAGUUUGGGCAUCAAUGCGUUAUCUGGACCUCUACCAAAGGAGCUCGGGAACCUUACGAAUCUUGUAUCACUGGGCAUUGGCUCAAACAAAUUUAAUGGCUCACUACCUUCGGAGUUGGGAAACCUGGCCAAACUUGAACAAAUGUACAUCGACAGUGCUGGCCUUAGUGGCCCACUACCAGCGUCACUUUCCAGCCUUACGAAAAUGAAAAUAUUGUGGGCAUCAGAUAAUGAUUUUACUGGCCAGAUACCAGAUUAUAUUGGGAGCUGGAGUUUAACAGAGCUGAGGUUUCAAGGCAAUUCUUUCGAAGGUCCGAUUCCAGCUACUCUUUCCAAUCUUGCCCAAUUGACAAGCUUACGAAUCGGUGAUAUAUUAAAUGGGAGUUCUUCUUCACUGGCAUUCGUCAAUAACAUGACAUCUUUGAGCACCUUGGUUUUGAGGAACUGCAGGAUAUCUGAUAAGCUUUCAUCGAUUGACUUUUCAAAGUUGACGAGUUUAGACUUACUGGAUUUGAGUUUCAACAAUAUCACAGGCCAAGUACCACAAACCUUGUUGAAUCUGAACUCACUAAAGUUCUUAUUUCUUGGGAAUAAUAGCCUUUCAGGGAAUCUCCCAAGCUCAAUAGGAUCUUCGCUUAAAAAUUUAGAUUUUUCUUACAACCAGCUCUCAGGAACUGUUCCUUCUUGGGCUAAAGAUUCACAAUUGAAUCUGGUGACAAAUAAUUUCGUGGCUGAUAGUUCCAGCAACAGUGUCUUACCUACGGGGUGGGGGUGCCUUCAGCGUAAUACACCAUGUUUUCUUGGUUUGCCACAGUCUUCUUCAUUUGCUGUGGACUCUGGUAGUAGGCGACCCGUAUCAGGCUCAGAUAAUUCUUUCUACGAAUCUGAUGAUGCAAGUCUUGGACCUGCGUCAUUUUAUGUUACAGGAGCACAAACAUGGGGUGUUAGCAAUGUUGGAAGGUUUAUGGAUGCACAGAAUGGCAGUUAUAUAAUCUACAGUUCACGCCAGUUUCUGAAUACACUUGAUACAGAACUGUUCCGGAAUGCAAGGAUGUCACCUUCAUCCUUAAGAUACUUUGGUAUUGGACUUGAAAAUGGAAACUAUACAGUUACACUACAAUUUGCAGAGUUUGACUUCCCAGACGGUCAGUCUUGGAAGAGCACAGGAAGAAGGGUUUUUGAUAUAUAUGUUCAGGGUGUGCGUAAAGAACAGAACUUUGACAUAAGGAAGACGGCAGGCGGGAAAUCUUACACUGCUGUUAGGAAGCAGUACAUUGUUCCUGUCACGAAGAACUUUCUUGAGAUUCAUCUCUUCUGGGCUGGCAAGGGCACUUGCUGCAUUCCUACUCAAGGCUACUACGGGCCUGCGAUCUCAGCUUUGAGUGCAACACCAAAUUUCACCCCUACAGUGCGUAAUGCUGCGGCAAAGAAGAAUGGUAGUAAAACAGGCGUGAUUGUCGGAGUUAUAGUUGGUCUAGCAGUUUUAGGAUUGGUAGCAUUUGCCGCGAUCUUUUUUUGGAGGCAGAAAAAGAGAAAACUAUCAUUGGAGCAAGAAGAGCUCUACAGUAUUGUGGGAAGACCUAAUGUCCUCAGUUAUGGUGAGCUGAGGUCAGCUACUGAUAAUUUCAGUCCUGAUAACCUUCUUGGUCAAGGAGGAUAUGGGUCGGUUUAUAAGGGAAAGUUAACUGAUGGUAGGUUCGUGGCAGUGAAGCAGCUGUCUGAAAAAUCUCAUCAGGGAAAAAGGGAAUUUGCAACGGAAAUAGAAACUAUAUCUCGAGUGCAACACCGUAAUCUGGUGAAGCUGUAUGGUUGCUGCCUUGAGGGCAAUAAGCCACUGCUGGUUUAUGAGUACCUGGAGAAUGGAAGCCUGGACCAUGCUCUGUUUGGCAAAGGGAAGUCAAGCCUAGACUGGCCAACGCGUUUUGAGAUAUGCUUAGGCGUUGCAAGAGGUCUUUCCUAUCUUCAUGAAGAAUCUAGCAUCCGUGUUGUGCACAGGGACAUCAAGGCCAGCAAUAUCUUACUUGAUGCCAAUCUCAAUCCUAAGAUCUCGGAUUUCGGGCUCGCCAAACUUUAUGAUGACCAGAAGACACACGUGAGCACGAAGGUUGCUGGUACAUUUGGUUAUCUUGCACCUGAGUAUGCCAUGAGAGGCCAUAUGACAGAGAAGAUCGACGUGUUUGCAUUCGGCGUUGUGGUAUUGGAGACUUUAGCUGGGAGACCCAACUACAGUACAAAGGACGAGAACAAGGUUUAUAUUUUCGAAUGGGUGUGGGAACUGUACGAGGACAACCGCGCGCUGGACGUGGUGGACCCGAGGCUGGAAGAGUUCGACAGCGAGGAGGUGCUCCGGGCCAUCAAGGUGGCGCUGCUCUGCACCCAGGGCUCGCCCCACCAGCGCCCCCCCAUGUCGAGGGUGGUGGCGAUGCUGACGGGCGACGUCGAGGCGCCCGACGUGGUGACCAAGCCCAGCUACAUCACGGAGUGGCAGAUCAAGGGCGGCAACACCACCUACAUGAGCACCGAUGUCAGCGGGCAGUCAAGCUCUGCGCCAAGGCCCCAUUCGUCGACGUCCCAAACCUCCUCGCCGUUCCUGAGCUCCGUCAUCGAUGAAGGCCGCUGA
rnacentral:rRNA from 1 species